rnacentral:lncRNA from 1 species
UUUUUCCCUUCGUAGAAUGACAUUCACAUGGCUGUUAGUGUGCCUGAUUUCACAACCAGUAUAUGUUCAGGUGUGUGGACAAGCACUAGGAGGUGGAGGGAGAUGCUUCUGCAAUGGUCCUUAACAGGAUAACAUGACUAAAUAAGAUUCUGGUCUCUAAAGUGGGGCCAAAACACACCCACACACCCCUACACACACCUAGGACAACAGGAGCUGCUGCUUUCCUGGGAUCUCCUUUACGAGAAACGUUUAUGAGAUCUCCUCUGAGGAACAGAAGAAACACUACAAAAUGUGUAUGUGGCACUAAUAUGUAUCAUUUCCACGGCUGCAGAGGUAUAGUCACAAAAAAAAGAGAGUAACUUUCCCCAGCUCUGCUUUUGACUCAGACUUCAAGUAAGUAGCACUUAAUACUUAUUUCUAGUUAUAUGUGAAUGCCCAGCAGUUAAAAAGGAAGGAGAGGGCUUGGGCUUGUGGUUACAUCUGACAUGCUUUUACUCCACAAGGACACUACAGGAGGCAUCUUGUGGAGAAAGUGUUACUGCAAAGCCUUGUUGUGGAAGCUAAAUCCCUACCACCUGCUCUCCUGGGCUUGUAGAGGCUGUUAAGCCUUGUAAUCUGUCCCUGAGAACUAUUUAAAGCCCCUUUGACUAGGUUGUUUUUGCACACAACAUGAAGAUCAAAGCUCCAAGAGGUAACAGGAUCUGGUGUCACCAAGGAUUGUACAUUUCCUCUUUCUGUGUUGCAGAUCCUGUCACCAGACGUUCCUGUUUAAGCUACUUGGAAGGAUAUCUCAAUAACAUCCCCGCUUUGCUCAAGGAGACAGAGACAGAUGAUGUGCUUCCCAUUUCCAUUCUUCUUUGGUUUGGUACUUUGUGUCAAAAAUAUCCAACUGCUGAAAAUGGGAGGGGGCUUGAACGACCAAUAUCCUACCCUCCCCCCUUUGCCUCACUAGACGAUGUCAGUAUAGCCUGUGGAGCAGAGUAUCUAGAGUGUCGGAUUAAGACACAGAAGACCUUUGUCCAAAUCCACACUUGGCCAAGAAAACUCACUGGGGGUAGAAAGAGCAAAACCAUCUUUUAAAUAUUGUGCACACCAUGGAAACCCUAUGGUCGCUGUACGUCAGAAUCAACUUGAUGGCACAUAACACUCACGUACAGUACUCAUGCCAAGUGAAUAUCCAAAGCAUUAUUUUAAAAAGGAUCUAUGAGGAGGUUCCAAAGUCUCGUUUGGGAAAUCUGAACUCUGUGAAAUUGCUCAUAUGAAGGGGAAAAUCCAACUUAUUGUUGGGAUGUGAGAAUCUGUUAGUCUUAACUUGUUAAGUUUCAAAAGGUCCAACUGUAAUGAUUUUCAAUGAUAAGUACAGUAUAGUUAAUAUAGAUAGUGUAUAUAUUAACUAUACUUAGCAUAUUAAUACUUAACAUUAUUUUAUUUAUAUUACUAUUCAUCAAUUCAUUCACUCAUUCAUUCUCUCUAUAUUCUGGAUUCAUCCACAGCUUUUCAUAAAGCCAUAUUUAAAAAGUUCUCUUCUCAAAACUCAGCCUCCGUCUGAUUGUUCAUAUCUAUCAAUUGAAGGUCGUAGGAGUAAAACCCUGGAAUUUGUUUGUGGUUUCUUAAGAGAUGUAAAAGAGGUACCACCUACCCUUCACUUUAGAGCACUGAUAACAGAAUAUCUCGGUAAUCAGCACUCUGACUCAUUAUUAUUGAUGCAUUGUAAUUUUAAAAGCCCAUUACUAAUGUAAUUGUCACUCUCUUUUUUCAUCCCACUUGGUCCCCACCCUAUUACUAUCCAGCCCAUCUGUAUCAAUCUGUGGCCUGAUAAUUAAGCUCCAUGUACCUGAAGACGUUGGGGUCACGAAGAGUCGGGCACAACUAAGCAACAACAACCUGAAGAAGUGGAUUGCCAUUCAACUCAUACUGAAAUAAACCUGUUCAUCGUGAAGGUGCUACA